rnacentral:rRNA from 1 species
GACGAACGCUGGCGGCGUGCUUAACACAUGCAAGUCGAACGGUAAGGCCCUUCGGGGUACACGAGUGGCGAACGGGUGAGUAACACGUGGGUGAUCUGCCCUGCACUUCGGGAUAAGCCUGGGAAACUGGGUCUAAUACCGGAUAGGACCACUGCCUGCAUGGGUGGUGGAAAGCUUUUGCGGUGUGGGAUGGGCGCGCGGCCUAGCAGCUUGUUGGUGGGGGGAUGGCCGACCAAGGCGACGACGGGUAGCCGGCCUGAGAGGGUGACCGGCCACACUGGGACUGAGAUACGGCCCAGACUCCUACGGGAGGCAGCAGUGGGGAAUAUUGCACAAUGGGCGCAAGCCUGAUGCAGCGACGCCGCGUGAGGGAUGACGGCCUUCGGGUUGUAAACCUCUUUCAGCACCGACGAAGCGCAAGUGACGGUAGGUGCAGAAGAAGGACCGGCCAACUACAUGCCAGCCGCCGCGGUAA